UUUAAAAACUUUUGUAAAUCUUUUAAAGCCCUUUAAAAUCCUUUGUAAAUAUUUUAAAACCUUUUAAAAUUCUUUGUAAAUGUUUUAAAACCCUUUUAAAAUCACUUGUAAAUAUUUUAAAACCCUUUUAAAAUCCCUUGUAAAUCUUUUAAAAUCCCUUUAAAAUCCCUUGUAAAUAUUUUAAAAUCCCUUGUAAAUCUUUUAAAACUCUUUUAAAAUCCCUAAUAAUUCUAUUACCCGCCAAAAAAAAAAAUUUUGCGGAAAAAAUAUUUUUGAA
rnacentral:sRNA from 1 species